rnacentral:rRNA from 1 species
GACGAACGCUGGCGGCGUGCCUAAUACAUGCAAGUUGAGCGAUGACGCUUGGUGCUUGCGCCAAUUUGAAGAGCAGCGGACGGGUGAGUAACGCGUGGGGAAUCUGCCUUUGAGCGGGGGACAACAUUUGGAAACGAAUGCUAAUACCGCAUAACACCUUUAACCAUAAGUUUUAAGUUUGAAAGAUGCAAUUGCAUCACUCAAAGAUGAUCCCGCGUUGUAUUAGCUAGUUGGUGAGGUAAAGGCUCACCAAGGCGAUGAUACAUAGCCGACCUGAGUGGGUGAACGGCCACAUUGGGACUGGGACAAGGGCCAAACGCCUUCGGGAGGCAGCAGGAGGGAAACAUCGGCAAUGGGCGAAAGGCUGACCGAGGAACGCCGCGGGAGGGAAGAAGGUUUUCGGAGUGGAAAACUCGGUUGGUAGAGAAGAAAGUUGGUGAGAGUGGAAAGCUCAUCAAGUGACGGUAACUACCCAGAAAGGGACGGCUAACUACGUG